rnacentral:misc_RNA from 1 species
UACCUUAGUAUAGCCUUUCGCCUUGAUAACACUAAUCCGCAUCAUUCUUAAUACUUACCACAAUAUGAACCAACCAAGAAGCAUAUUAGACAAAGCUUGUUGAAGUUUAACUAAAAACAUAAUAUUGUCUGCAGGAAGAAGUUUUGUGAACUGAAAAUGGGAUCAAAUUACAGCUGAAGGAUUAAGAUCCAUUAUAGCAUUAGAAAAAACACCAAAUGAAGGCUCAUUAUUUCAGGAAAAAGAAAAUUGCUAAAUUCGACUUCAUUUCAAAACACGUACAACUGCAUCAUCCAAGUUCAGAACCAACCUUCUAAAUACAAUAAUAUGGAUCCUAAAAGUUCAAUAAAAUACCUUGGUAAAGAGAAACAUAUUCUGCUGCAUGUUACCUGUUCAAAGUUUCUCCUCAAAUUAUCCACUAGAUAUAUUGCAUAUGAACUCCAACAAGAGUAGGGAUUGAAGCACGAAAAGUCCAAACAUGCUGAGGUUCUAAGAUGGCUAAGCCAACUACAAAAACUUUCAAGGAUUAUCCUUAGCCCAAUUCUUCCCAUCCACUACUACUUCUGAUAUAUUUGUCAACUAUACCAAAUUCCCUAUUCUGAUCAACUCGUCUGGCAUAGUUCUCAAUGGAUAUAGGACCCUUCUUCAACCUCCUAUAGUAAAUGACCUCCCACGGCCACAAGCGAGCAGAACCAAAAUAAGCAUCAGCAGGUAAAUGCCUUUCAUUUUCAUCUUGGAUAUCAACACCAUAAUAAUGCUUUAGAACCAUGCACAACUCUCCUGAAGAAAGAUUUGUCAAAUGACCAGAGAAUGAACUGACAGGAGGUUCUAAAUCUAGAUUCUUAACUGGAACAGGCACAUGCUCUGUCAUCACUUCAUCAGAAUUUGGACAGUGCAUUUCUACAAGUCCUUUUGGAGAUAAACUCCGAGCAUCAAUUGUGCCCUUUUCUGCUGCUGAAGUGCUUGGAUUUGUUACUUCAUACAUUGACUCAGAAGCCAUUUGGUGGCCUUCAUUAUCCCUCUCCAAAGGCUGGUCUUUCUCCAUUUCAAUUUCCGGUUUAGAAUGAGGCAUUGCAUUUUCAUUGUUCACUGUUACCAUUCUAUUUUCAUGUUUUGCAUUCUCCGAGCCACUAUCACAUGCUAUGGGUUGCCCUUUCUCAAUCAAAAUCGCCUUGGAUUCUGGAGUUGUAGCAUUAUCUGAAGAACCUCUCAGAUUAAACUGAGCCUUAUUUGAAGAAGAUGGUAAGGGUUGACCAAGUGAAACAGACAAAGAUGUAUGGGAGCUUGACCUUGCCCUCAACUUGGAGCUUUUGGAUCUAGAAUAUUGUGAUGUUGAAAUAGACCUAGAUUCAGACAACAGUGAAUCUGCUCUAACUGAUCUUGAUCUAGAUUCGGAACAAGACCUGUUCACAUGCUCAGAGGAUUGAGAUCUUGAGUGAGAUUGGGACGCAGUGUAAUCAGAACGAGGAGGAGACAAAAAUGACCUUCUUGCUUUCUUUGCACUGUGUCUUUUUGGAGAUCUAGUUUCCUUCCUACUUCUCUUAUUUCCAUCAUAGUGCUUUUUCCGACACUUAUCAGUUUCCUUUCCCACAGGGGAGCUUCCACCACUUAAAAUUUGAUGCUUUCCUAAGUCAUAUGAUUUCAAAUCAUUCUUGAGUUGCUUUCUUGGUACUGCAUCCCUACUUGACCUCAGCCUUUCCCGUGAACUGGAUCCAAAUUUCCCCAGCUCACUUUCACCUCUACCUCUCCUAUUAACAUCAUCAUCAUGCCUAUGAUCGAACCUGCUGUACUUUCUCAAUGAAUUAUUUGCCUGGGGACAAUUGCGCAUCUUGUGACCAGGACAUCCACAUCUGUAGCAAGUUACCCGGACUUUUGCAUCAACAGGUUGCUUCAACUUCACUUCAUCAAUGUGAUCUCUACCUAUAUCCUUUGAAGGGCUUCGUAGAUCAGGAGAACCACCAGGAUAGGCUACCUGACGGAUUUCAUCAUCAUAUUUCCCAUCAUAACCUUGGUAAGGUUCAUACCUAUCAAAUUCUGUAUCAUUUUUUCCCCCAUUUUCAUUUGAUUGAUCAUUGAAUUGCUCACCCCAUCUAUCAUUGUCCACUGGGUCAGGUUCAAACCUACCACCUUCAUCCAAAAAGUCUUCCCUAUAACCAUGGAACUCUUCCCCCAACUUAUUUUUGGUGUCAUCCUCAUGGUAAGUCACCUCUUCAUCAUGCAUGUCGCUUGAACCGUGCCUUUUGCUGAUAGCAUUUGAUAGCUUAAUACCCAUCUUGUAAUCCUGAUCAUUUGAAGCCAACUUUCCUUUUAAAAAAUCUCCUCUCACAGAAUCCCUGCCAUUUUGUCGCUCAUAGGAUCUAGCAGUCCUUGAUAAUCUCUUAAAUGGUCUAGGCUGUUUAUUUGACCAUGUAAGAGUUAAUGGCUCACCACAAAUGUUCCUCUUCUGUAGUGCUCUCAAAGCUUGCUCAGCAUUUGGAGGGAAAUCAUAUACUACAAAUCCAUACCCAUCUUUAAAUCGUAUGCUGCAUCGUCCAUACCUUUGGAAGACUCGCUCAAGUUCAUCUCUACGAGUGCGUGAUGAUAGAUUACCAAUAUACAAUGACAUCAGGAGAUAGGAUCGCUGUGCUUGGACUCUCCUUUCUCUCUAUCUUUCUCGUCGAAUCGGCCGCUGGCUGGGUCUAGAAUCUAGAUUACCUGCUUGCAGUGUUG